rnacentral:lncRNA from 1 species
CUGCGCCCAGUCACAUCUAUUGCAUUUCUCUGGAAUGACCACAGCAAUAUUUCCAGCCCUUGAUGAUCUUCUAGAACUUUGCCACUUCCCUGCAUCAAGAGGGUUUGUCUUGGUCCAUUUUAUGCUGCUAUAACAGAACACCACAGACUGAGAAAUUUAUAAGGAAUAGAAGUUUAUUUGCCUCAUGUUUCUGGAGGCUGGGAAUUCCAAGAUCAAGGGGCUGCAUAGAUUGAGGUCCUUUUUGCUGACUCAUAACGUGGAAAGAGAGUGCACUGCAUAGAAGAAAGGAGGCCAAACUCAUUCUUUUAUCAUGAGCCUACUCCUGAAAUAACUCACUCUCAAGAUAAUGGCAUUAAUCCAUUCAUGAAGGCAGAAUACUCAUGAUGUAAUCACCUCUUAAAAGGUCCUAUUUCCUAACACUGUUGCAUUAGGGAUUAAGCUGUCAACACAUGAAUAUUGGGGGACACAUUCAAACCAUAGCAAGAGUUCUUUGUCUUUGUGACUCGGUGUGGUUCAGCAAAUUGCGAUUGGUCUGCUAUAGCGGACUUUCCCCUCACCUCCCAAAUGUUUAUUAUGAAAAAUUUCAUUUUAAA